rnacentral:piRNA from 1 species
UGUUGUUUUUAAAAUUGGAAUAACUAGGGG